rnacentral:tRNA from 1 species
AAAUAUGAAGCAAAUUAUUUGCAUUUAAUUUCGACUUAAAAGAAUGAGUUAAUUAUUACUCCUUAUUUA